CCUUUUUUUGUAAUUAACUCUUAAUAAAAGCAUUCUUUGUUUCUAUAUCUGUUCUCUGGUCCAUUUGUGGGGUGGUGAACGUGUUGCUCCUCAGGGAAGAAGGUGUGGCAGUGUUGGCGAGUAGCGCCCCCUGCAGGUGUCAAAAGCAAGCAAGGAUGGUGCGUGUGCCUGGAAGCCCUGUCUGUAAGUUAACAUUUAUACAUGUAUUUAAGAAACCAGUUGAGUCAUAUUUCCUACCAUGGAACUACUGACAUUCAUGUUUAUUAACCUGGUGCAUAUCAUGUGGCUGUUCUGAUGUAUUUGUCUCUUCCUGCCUUUUUUUAGGUCAGCAGAUUGCCAGGGGCGGAGCCAAAGGGGUGGCCGGGGGGGCACUGGACCCCUCUGAAAUCUGAUUGGACCCCCCAGGUGCCACCCCAGAUGAUUGACAUAUCACGGCACCGGCACCGCACGUCUUGUUGAAAAGAGCCUGUUGCAUUUUGUAAUCGGUUGACUGCUAUAUCCCUCCUGUGCAGUAGCUGGCGCUAUGUAUUACAAAGAGUUGUCAUUCACACUGUCCACCAGCAAGCAUUAUACAGAGAACGAGAAGAAGAGAGUCAAACGCUCACAGAGAAUAUUGCGACAGGGAGGAUUUUUUGCACAGGACAGCAGCAGCCUACUUGACGGACAGUGAAAUACACGUUCUAAGAUUGCCGUUGGACUGACAAGUGGUCUACACUUCUGACUCAUCUGUGGACCCCCUGAAAUAGCUUUGGCCACCCUCUGGCCACCCCAAGGGUAAAAGUCUAGCUCCGCCACUGGUCACUGCCUCCACCACCUGCAAAUGAGUCAACACCACACAGGCAACCAGCUCAUUGCCCAGAGCUGGGUGGGUCUAUUAUAACGCCUGCCACUUCAUCUUGGGACCCAGUUGAAGCACAAGUGACUCAUCACACAGAGGGAGGUGGCUUGGCCAUGGAGACGGAAAUAAGAGCAAUAAGGACAACCAUUACCGCAUGGCAAUGCGAAUGGACGCAUUUUUUAGGAGAAGAUGGAUGAGCUGCUCAUGCUCUUAAGGAGCUCCCAGUCACCUCCCUCUGCUCCAGUCGAUGACAUAUU